GUAGGUGGCAAGCGUUGUCCGGAAUUAUUGGGCGUAAAGCGCGCGCAGGCGGUUCUUUAAGUCUGAUGUGAAAGCCCACGGCUCAACCGUGGAGGGUCAUUGGAAACUGGAGAACUUGAGUACAGAAGAGGAAAGCGGAAUUCCACGUGUAGCGGUGAAGUGCGUAGAGAUGUGGAGGAACACCAGUGGCGAAGGCGGCUUUCUGGUCUGUAACUGACGCUGAGGCGCGAAAGCGUGGGGAGCAAACAGGAUUAGAUACCCUGGUAGUCCACGCCGUAAACGAUGAGUGCUAAGUGUUAGGGGGUUUCCGCCCCCCUUAGUGCUGCAGCUAACGCAUUAAGCACUCCGCCUGGGAGUACGGCCGCAAGGCUG
rnacentral:rRNA from 1 species